ensembl:snoRNA
AUCUUUCCAGUUCAUGAGCAUGAUGAUUGGUGCGUUCACGGACCAUCCGUGACAGGUGCAGCCCUCCUUGUUACGCUCUGCGCCUCAGCCUUUCUGACC